rnacentral:misc_RNA from 1 species
GUGAAUCAUCGAAUCUUUGAACGCACCUUGCACCUUGUGGUAUUCCACAGGGUAUGCCCGUUUGAGUAUCAUUAAAUCAUCAACUCCAAAUUAUUUUUGGUGCUUGGUCUUGAGGGUUAUUGCAGGCUUUUUACAAGUCGGCUCCCUUUAAAUCCAUUAGCGAGACUUCCCUGUGCUGAACUCGAGUUCUUGACGUGAUAGUCUAUCUGCGUCAAAUAUUAGAGUUCUCGUUGGGCUUGCUUAUAAUCGUCCUCUUUGGACAAUCGGAAUUGAGUGCAUAUAUGCGCUCUUUACCAACCUCUUUUGAUCUCAAAUCGGGUAGGACUACCCGCUGAACUUAAGCAUAUCAAUAAGCGGAGGA